rnacentral:lncRNA from 10 species
AAGAACACGUACCAUACAAUCCCACUUAUGUGAGGUCCCUAGAGUAGUCACUUUCAUAGAGAUAGUAGCUGACAGGAGGAGCAUGGGGAGUGACUGUUUAAUGAAUACAGACUUGAAAUUUGGGAAGAGGUAAAAGUUCUGGAGAUGGAUGGUGGUGAUGGGUGGUGAUGAUGGACAUUGGAGAUGGGCAAUGGACAUGGAUGGUGGUGAUGGAUGGUAUAAAUGGAUAUUGGAUGUGGACAGCGGACGUGGACAGUGGAGAUAGAGGGUGGUGAUGGCUGGUGGACAUGGACAGUGAAGAUAGAGAGUAGUGAUGGAUGGUGGAGAUAGAGGGCGGUGAUGGACAGUGGAGAUAGAGGGUGGUGAUGGACAGUGGAGAUAGAGGGUGGUGAUGGACAGUGGACAUGGACAGUGGAGAUAGAGGGUGGUGAUGGACAGUGGAGAUAGAGGGUGGUGAUGGACAGUGGACAUGGAUAGUGGAGACAGAGGGUAGUGAUGGACAGUGGAGAUAGAGGGUGGUGAUGGACAGUGGACAUGGACAGUGGAGAUAAAGGGUGGUGAUGGACAGUGGAGAUAGAGGGUGGUGAUGGACAGUGGAGAUAGAGGGUGGUGAUGGACAGUGGAGAUAGAGGGUGGUGAUGAACAGUGGAGAUAGAGGGUAGUGAUGGACAGUGGACAUGGACAGUGGAGAUAGAGGGUGGUGAUGGAUGGUGGACAUGGACAGUGGAGAUAGAGGGUGGUGAUAGACGGUGGACAUGGACAGUGGACAUGGACGGUGGGGACAGAGGGUGGUGAUGGACGGUGGACACAGACGGUGGAGAUAGAGGGUGGUGAUGGACGGUGGACACGGACAGUGGAGAUAGAGGGUGGUGAUGGACAGUGGAGAUAGAGGGUGGUGAUGGUCAGUGGAGAUAGAGGGUGGUGAUGGACGGUGGAGAUAGAGGGUGGUGAUGGACAGUGGACAUGGACAGUGGAGACAGAGGGGGUGAUGGACAAUGGACAUGGACAGUGGAGAUACAGGGUGGUGAUGGACGGUGGACAUGGACAGUGGAGACCGGGGGUGAUGAACAGUGGACAUGGACAGUGGAGACAGAGGGUGGUGAUGGACCCUGGAGAUAGAGGGUGGUGAUGGACAGUGGAGAUGGACAGUGGAGACAGAGGGUGGUGAUGGACGGUGGAGAUAGAGGGUAGUGAUGGACGGUGGACAUGGACAGUGGAGACGGAGGGUAGUGAUGGAUGGUGGACAUGGACAGUGGAGACAGAGGGUAGUGACGGACGGUGGACAUGGACAGUGGAGACAGAGGGUAGUGAUGGAUGGUGGACAUGGGCAGUGGAGGUGGAGGGUAGUGAUGGACGGUGGACGUGGACAGUGGAGAUGGAGGGUAGUGAUGUACAGUGGACAUGGACAGUGGAGAUAGAGAGUGGUGAUGGACAGUGGAGAUAGAAGGUGGUGAUGGACAGUGGAGAUAGAAGGUGGUGAUGGACAGUGGACAUGGACGCUGGAGAUAGAGGGUGGUGAUGGACAGUGGAGAUAGAGGGUGGUGAUGGAUGGUGGACAUGGACAGUGGAGAUAGAGGGUGGUGAUGGAUGGUGGACAUGGAUAGUGGAGUUGAAGGGUGGAGAUGGAGGGUGGUGAUGGAUGGCGGUGAUGGAGGGUGGAGAUGGAGGGUGGUGAUGGAGGGUGGAGGGUAGUGAUGGACAGUGGAGAUGGAGGGUGGAGAUGGUGGGUGGUGAAGGAGGUUGGUGAUGGAGGGUGGUGAUGGGGGCGGAAAUGGAGGGUGGAGAUGCAGGGUGGAAAUGGAGGGUGGUGAUGGACAGCGGAGAUGAAUGGUAGUGAUGGAUGGUGGAGAUGGAGCAUGGAAAUGGUGGGUGGUGAUGGAGGAUGGAGAUGGAGGGUGGUGAUGGAGAGUGGUGAUGGAUGGUGGAGAUGAAUGGUGGUGAUGGACGAUGGAGAUGGAGGAUGGAGAUGGAGGGUGGAUGAAGGGUGGAGAUGGAAGAUAGUGAUGGAGGGUGGUGAUGGAUGGUGGUGAUGGAGGAUGGAGAUGGAGGGUGGAUGGAGGGUGGAGAUGGUGAGUGGUGAUGGAGGGUGGAGAUAAAUGGUGGUAAUGGACAGUGGAGAUGGACAGUCGAAAUGGAGAGUGGUGAUGGAUGGUAGUGAUGGAUGGUGGAGAUGGACAGCGGAGAUGAAUGGUGGUGAUGGAUGGUGGAGAUGGAGCGUGGAAAUGGUGGGUGGUGAUGGAGGAUGGAGAUGGAGGGUGGAGAUGGAGGGUGGUGAUGGAGGGUGGAGAUGAAUGGUGGUGAUGGAUGGUGGAGAUGGAGGAUGGAGAUGGAGGGUGGAUGAAGGGUGGAGAUGGAAGGUGGUGAUGGAGGGUGGUGAUGGAUGGUGGAGAUGAAUGGUGGCGAUGGACGGUGGAGAUGGAGGAUGGAGAUGGAAGGUGGUGAUGGAGGGUGGAGAUGAAUGGUGGCGAUGGACGGUGGAAAUGGAAGAUGGAGAUGGAGGGUGGAUGGAGGGUGGAGAUGGUGAGUGGUGAUACAGGGUGGAGAUAAAUGGUGGUAAUGGACAGUGGAAAUGGAGGGUGGUGAUGGACGGUGGUGAUGGAUGGUGGAGAUGGAGCGUGGAAAUGGUGGGUGGUGAUGGAGGGUGGAGAUGGAGGGUGGUGAUGGAGGGUGGUGAUGGAGAGUGGUGAUGGAUGGUGGAGAUGGAGAUGGAGGGUGGACGAAGGGUGGAGAUGGAAGGUGGUGAUGGAGGGUGGUGAUAG